AGUGAACGCUGGCGGUAGGCCUAACACAUGCAAGUCGAACGGCAGCACAGUAAGAGCUUGCUCUUACGGGUGGCGAGUGGCGGACGGGUGAGGAAUACAUCGGAAUCUACUUUUUCGUGGGGGAUAACGUAGGGAAACUUACGCUAAUACCGCAUACGACCUACGGGUGAAAGCAGGGGAUCUUCGGACCUUGCGCGAUUGAAUGAGCCGAUGUCGGAUUAGCUAGUUGGCAGGGUAAAGGCCCACCAAGGCGACGAUCCGUGGCUGGUCUGAGAGGAUGAUCAGCCACACUGGAACUGAGACACGGUCCAGACUCCUACGGGAGGCAGCAGUGGGGAAUAUUGGACAAUGGGCGCAAGCCUGAUCCAGCCAUACCGCGUGGGUGAAGAAGGCCUUCGGGUUGUAAAGCCCUUUUGUUGGGAAAGAAAAGCAGCAGGUUAAUACCCCGCUGUUCUGACGGUACCCAAAGAAUAAGCACCGGCUAACUUCGUG
rnacentral:rRNA from 1 species